AAAUGUCGUAAAUGUAAAUGUAAAUCUAAGUCACAAACUAUAAAAAUAAAAAUGCCUAAUACAUGCUAAUUAUCAUCCAUACACAAUCAUAAGAAGCCUCCAAUUUUUUGGAGCAACGCAUUAGGUUAAAGUCAACCUAAUUUAACAAAAAAAAAAGUAUUUUCAACUAAUAAAUUAUUUUUUUAAAUAGGUGCAAAAAACAAAAACAAAAGGACAAUUGUUUGUAACUGAACUUUUGAUCUUAAAUUCUUUUCAUUCUUUUGACUACUUAUUAUUUAAUGCUGCAACCUGCUUUCAAUACAUUUCUAAGAACCAACUGUACUUUACACCACUAAUUAUAACAAGAGGAACCCUGAGGUCCUGCUGUAAAAAUAGAACCAACAGCCCAGUCUGUUUAAGAGUCUAAUGAAAGAACCUACUGCAACUUGACUACACUAAAACCCUGGGAGAAAAAGUCAAUACCAUUACUGAUGUAGUCUGCAAGAACCGAAAAGUGACUUUUCAUGCUAUUUAUAGACAGAAACAACAUAGCUGCUGGAUUACUGAAGCAAUGAGGGGAGUAUAAAUCCAAAAGGUGGGUAUGCCAAAGUCACUCUAUAAUAGAAGUACAUCAAUACAAACAUGUCUGCAAAGGCUGCUCAAUAACAUUUACACACUGCACAGCUGUGAACAUGUUUUGUCACGACAUGUUGCAGAACCACGAACUGUUGAAGGAAAACAGCAUUGCACAAACCACUGAACAAUAUAACUGCCACUGCUAUUUAGAACAUUCACCAAACAUCACAACUUUCUGUUACUAUAGAAAUUUAGGAAGCUUACGAAACCACCUCAGGCCAUUUUUCAGCAAUUUCAGACCUUGUGUAAAGCACAAUGUGCUUUUUGCAGCAAGAGUUCAAUCACUGUAUUUUAACAUGUUGAAUGCACAUGCAAAAGACAAUAAGUAUGGCUAUAUGCAUAGGUAUUUAUUCAUUUGAUUAUGGAAACUGACUAUUAUUAUUUUUUGUAUUUGGAAAAUAGUGUUUCUCAUAGCAACUAAUAGCAUCUCCAUACUGAGAUCCAUGCAGAGAGAUAAGAGUGAGAGUCUACAGAAUAGGAGAAUGGAGAGCACUCAGGAGCAGAGGCGAGGGGGAGCGAAAAGUGCUUGCUCUGCUGCAAUGGAAGCCGGUGCCUUUUAAAAAGAUCUGAGGGCACUGUUGGAGCUUGUGGAGCCACGAGGAUUUACAGAGCAUGCAGCUUUGACAAGUCCUUUCAGCACUGUCCUCUGAACCAUCUGGCGGAAAAAAAACACACAUGCUGGGGAGAUCAUGCAGUUCCCACCUAAUGAGGACAGAAAGAAGCUAUGUGAUUAGCAGAGGGAACGCUAAUAAAAACAUAUGCCUGUCUUUUCACUAAAUGAUAUACUAGAUUUUUUAGUGUGUUAACAGAAAAUCUGCAAAUACACGAUUAUUUCAGCUGAAGUUCUGAAAGACCCUCUUCCUGAAGCUGAGGGAUUGUACCUGUUAUUUAUUGUUGACUUAUAGAAAGGCUUGUGGGAGGAAGUAGUAACUUGUUUUCCACAGUAUUUUUGGUGUGCUUUUAAUGCUAGGCCUGUGUUUAAGCAUCCAGCUUUUACCAUUCCAAGAGUAAUUAUUUCUUGUAGGGUUUCUUGUGUGUGAACUACAGAGACAUGAUCAUUAACAGGGCUCUAUAAUAUAUUGCUUGUUAAUCAUCAAUGCAAUAAUACCUACACCACAGAAGGCUGCAAUAUGCAAAACAGCCAUUUAACAAAUGACAAAGUUUUUCUCGUCUGUGAUGUGAACAUCCUAACCAAUCUUAUGGUUGUUUUGUGAGUGGUGAAUCAUAGCAUGUACAUGAUCUAACAUACAAAAAUAAUUUUGGCCAAAUUAAUGCAAGCCAGCCUUUAACUAUGUCACAAAGGUUCAUCUAGCUGACUGCCAACUACAAGAGGAUACUAGAAAUUAAAACAAAGAAUACAGAAGAGAUAACAAAGAAUGCUCUUAAGGAUGGAUAAUAAAAUUCUUCAGUGACAACUCACAAGUCAACAUAAGACAUCAAUGUUUACCAUGAGCUAAGGCAUGGGUGCACAUAGGAGUCCUGCAUCCUGUGAUCCAGGCACCAUGUGUUUCCACAAGGAGGUCUGACAGUGGCAAGGCAAAUUUACACAUUUCCCUGUUCAAUGCAAGGACUAACCAGCGAGAGCAAGCAGUAAGUGAGAUGAUAAAAGCAGAGAGGAAAUAUGCAUGCAACCUGCCAACACAUUCAAAUCAACUUCCACACAGGCAAAUCAUAUACACCUCUGUACAAGAAGCAGGUGCAAAACAUAAAAGAACAUAUAGAUAUUCACAACCACACACAUACAGGCACAAAAACAAACAUUCCCUCACAUGUAGUACAUGUUUGUGGUGAGAGUGUCACAUUUCAUCCAGUUACUUCAUUUAUUCAAAUGUGGCAUGUGUACACAGGUAAUUAUAAACCAUAAUGAGGGCAGAAAGUAAACAGGACCCCCUAUAAAAGUUCACACCAAAAGGAAUGUCAUAUAAAACAAGCAACACAAGAUUCCAAACCACUUCCUCUCUUGCUGCGCAAUGUUUUAAAUGCUGCAGCUGACAUCUGAGGAUGCUGAGUAUAAAUGUUUGCUUAUGUUCAGCUAAUUCAAAAACAUUUUAUGUGCACAAUAUAUUGGAAGCCGUGCUUAUUAUUUGUCAAUCAGUACAAUUUUGAAUUUAUUGUUGUCAGUUCAAUAUUGGAAUUUUAGCUGAUAAUUACACAGGAGCAUUUUCAACUUUCCAUCAGAUUAAGCCUUCUGUUUAAUUUAAUAAUUUUAACACUAGGUUUAAUUUUUUUUUAAUUUUAUUUUGCUGUUUACUCAUUAAGCAAUGUAUCUGAUGUUGGUAACUGUGUAGUUAUGCCAUUAUGUUUUUGUUUUUUUUUGUGGGCUUUCCAGCCAUAAGUGUUCUUAUACCUGCACCAGUUCAAGUCAUAAAACGGCACUUAACAUUUGAUAAAGUUUCGAAAAUAACCAAUGAAACCAUUUAUGUUCUUUUUUUGUGUUAAGAGCAAUGUAUUUCUGAAAACCUUGUGUACUUC